rnacentral:tRNA from 1 species
AGUGAGAUGGCUGAUUAGAAGGUGAUAGAUUGUAAAUCUAUUUAUGAAUAAUAAAUUCUUUCACUA